rnacentral:rRNA from 1 species
GCCUAAAGCGUCCGUAGCCUGCUUUGUAAGUUUUCGGUUAAGUCCAUAUGCUCAACAUAUGGGCUGCCGGGAAUACUGCACAGCUAGGGAGUGGGAGAGGUAGACGGUACUCGGUAGGAAGGGGUAAAAUCCUUUGAUCUAUCGAUGACCACCUGUGGCGAAGGCGGUCUACCAGAACACGUCCGACGGUGAGGGAUGAAAGCUGGGGGAGCAAACCGGAUUAGAUACCCGGGUAGUCCCAGCUGUAAACUAUGCAAACUCGGUGAUGCGUUGGCUUGUAGCUAGCGCAGUGCCGCAGGGAAGCCGUUAAGUUUGCCGCCUGGGAAGUACGUACGCAAGUAUGAAACUUAAAGGAAUUGGCGGGGGAGCACCACAAGGGGUGAAGCCUGCGGUUCAAUUGGAGUCAACGCCAGAAAUCUUACCCGGAGAGACAGCAGAAUGAAGGUCAAGCUGAAGACUUUACCAGACAAGCUGAGAGGUGGUGCAUGGCCGUCGCCAGCUCGUGCCGUGAGGUGUCCUGUUAAGUCAGGUAACGAGCGAGACCCUUGCCUCUAGUUGCCACCAUUACUCUCAGGAGUAGUGGGGCGAAUUAGCGGGACCGCUGCAGUUAAUGUGGAGGAAGGAAAGGGCCACGGCAGGUCAGUAUGCCCCGAA